GAUGAACGCUAGCGGCAGGCCUAACACAUGCAAGUCGAGGGGUAGAGUUAGCUUGCUAACUUGAGACCGGCGCACGGGUGCGUAACGCGUAUGCAAUCUGCCUUGUACUGAGGGAUAGCCCAGAGAAAUUUGGAUUAAUACCUCAUAGUAUUAUUGAAUGGCAUCAUUUGAUAAUUAAAGUUCCAACGGUACAAGAUGAGCAUGCGUCCCAUUAGUUAGUUGGUAAGGUAACGGCUUACCAAGACGAUGAUGGGUAGGGGUCCUGAGAGGGAGAUCCCCCACACUGGUACUGAGACACGGACCAGACUCCUACGGGAGGCAGCAGUGAGGAAUAUUGGUCAAUGGGCGCAAGCCUGAACCAGCCAUGCCGCGUGCAGGAUGACGGUCCUAUGGAUUGUAAACUGCUUUUAUACGGGAAGAAACACUCCUACGUGUAGGAACUUGACGGUACCGUAAGAAUAAGGAUCGGCUAACUCCGUGCCAGCCGCCGCGGUAACAC
rnacentral:rRNA from 1 species